UAGGGAAUCUUCGGCAAUGGGGGCAACCCUGACCGAGCAACGCCGCGUGAGUGAAGAAGGUUUUCGGAUCGUAAAGCUCUGUUGUAAGAGAAGAACGUGUGUGAGAGUGGAAAGUUCACACAGUGACGGUAACUUACCAGAAAGGGACGGCUAACUACGUGCCAGCAGCCGCGGUAAUACGUAGGUCCCGAGCGUUGUCCGGAUUUAUUGGGCGUAAAGCGAGCGCAGGCGGUUUAAUAAGUCUGAAGUUAAAGGCAGUGGCUUAACCAUUGUUCGCUUUGGAAACUGUUAAACUUGAGUGCAGAAGGGGAGAGUGGAAUUCCAUGUGUAGCGGUGAAAUGCGUAGAUAUAUGGAGGAACACCGGUGGCGAAAGCGGCUCUCUGGUCUGUAACUGACGCUGAGGCUCGAAGCGUGGGGAGCAAACAGG
rnacentral:rRNA from 1 species